GGCCCAGUUGCGGAUGGUCCGCACCUGCAUUGUAUUGGCGGUAUCUUGGUGUGAGUGAAGCUUUACUGCAGGCAUCGCUUGUUCGAUUCGAGCCUGGGCCA